UACGUAGGGAGCAAGCGUUGUCCGGAAUCAUUGGGCGUAAAGCGCGCGUAGGCGGCCCUGUAAGUCCGUUGUGAAAGUCAAAGGCUCAACCUUUGAAAGCCGAUGGAUACUGCAGGGCUAGAGUUCGGAAGAGGCGAGUGGAAUUCCUGGUGUAGCGGUGGAAUGCGCAGAUAUCAGGAGGAACACCAAUAGCGAAGGCAGCUCGCUGGGACGAUACUGACGCUAAGGCGCGAAAGCGUGGGGAGCAAACGGG
rnacentral:rRNA from 1 species